rnacentral:lncRNA from 1 species
GAUUUAUCAGCCGGGGGGAUAUUUAUUUUGUGGAAAUGACCCCUAAGUGGGUAGGGCUAAAACCCUGCUGGCCCGGGGGAGAAGAGAAGCCUAAUGCACUUUGUCUAAACCCACAGCGGUAGACAAGGAGGCAGUGCGCCUGCCACCCCCAAGGAAGAGUCAGUUCAGAAGCACAGCAGCUGCUGGAAACCCAGGAGGUUUCCAGUUCGUUCCUGCUGGGACCUGGCAAGAACUGCACUGUCAAGGCUGCAAGAGGCUCCUGACGGCUUCUGACAUGUACAGAAUGGAAUAAGAGAACCUAGCAGAAAUGGAAGCAGAGGCAAGAGGUCUGGAGGCCAGGAAAAUGUCAAUGGAAAGCAGCUAGCAUGAAGACCCCACAGUGUUCCUCCCUCUAGUAGUCUGGUAUUAUUUGGAGCUGAGAUGCUCCC